rnacentral:rRNA from 1 species
UACAGAGGGGGCCAGCGUUAUUCGGUAUUAUUGGGCGUAAAGGGCGCGUAGGCGGCCUUGCGUGUCUUUCGUGAAGUCCCUCGGCUUAACUGAGGACGUGCGGAAGAAACUGCAGGGCUUGAGUCCGGGAGAGGGGGGUGGAAUUCCCAGUGUAGCGGUGAAAUGCGUGGAUAUUGGGAGGAGCACCGGUGGCGAAGGCGGCCCCCUGGACCGGUACUGACGCUGAGGCGCGAAAGCGUGGGUAGUAAACGGG